rnacentral:rRNA from 1 species
AUACGAAGGGGGCUAGCGUUGUUCGGAAUUACUGGGCGUAAAGCGCGCGUAGGCGGACUGAUCAGGUGGGGGUGAAAUCCCAGGGCUUAACCCUGGAACUGCCUCCAAUACUGUCAGUCUUGAGUUCGGGAGAGGUGAGUGGAAUUCCUAGUGUAGCGGUGAAAUUCGUAGAUAUUAGGAAGAACACCAGUGGCGAAGGCGGCUCACUGGCCCGAUACUGACGCUGAGGCGCGAAAGCGUGGGGAGCGAACAGGAUUAGAAACCCUAGUAGUCC